GACGAACGCUGGCGGCGUGCUUAACACAUGCAAGUCGAGCGGAGCGGCGAACGGGUGAGUAACGCGUGAGUAACUGCCCCCCUCUCUGGGAUAACAGUUGGAAACGGCUGCUAAUACCGGAUAGUGGGGGAUGACUCGCGUCCUAUCAGCUGUUUGGUGGGGUAGUGGCCUACCAAGGCGACGACGGGUAGCCGACCUGAGAGGGCGACCGGCGACAUGGGGCUGAGAUACGGCCCAAACUGGUACGGGACGCAGUGGUGGGGAAUAUUGCACAAGGGGGGACACCCUGAGGCAGCAACGCGCGUGCGGGAUGUCGGCCUUCGGGUUGGAAACCGCUUUCAGCCAUGACGCGGUAGUGGCAGAAGAAGCACCGGCUAACUACGUGCCAGCAGCCGCGGUAAUUC
rnacentral:rRNA from 1 species